rnacentral:lncRNA from 10 species
ACUAGCGGCGCCCGGGCGCGGAGUGCGCAGGGCAAGGUCCUGCGCUCUGGGCCAGCGCUCGGCCAUGCGAUCCGCCGCGCGGAGGGGACGCGCCGCGCCCGCCGCCAGGGACUCUUUGCCGGUGCUACUGUUUUUAUGCUUGCUUCUGAAGACGUGUGAACCUAAAACUGCAAAUGCCUUUAAACCAAAUAUCCUACUGAUCAUGGCGGAUGAUCUAGGCACUGGGGAUCUCGGUUGCUACGGGAACAAUACACUGAGAGACAGGUUUUCACUAUGUUGCCAAGGCUUGUCUCGAACUCCUGGCCUCAAGUGAUCCACCCACCUUAGCCCCCCAAAGUGCUGGGAUGACAGGCGUGAACCACCGUGCCCAACCAAUAUCUGGUGUUGAAGCGGCCAGAACGCCGAAUAUUGACCAGCUUGCAGAGGAAGGUGUGAGGCUCACUCAGCACCUGGCGGCCGCCCCGCUCUGCACCCCAAGCCGAGCUGCAUUCCUCACAGGGAGACAUUCCUUCAGAUCAGGCAUGGACGCCAGCAAUGGAUACCGGGCCCUUCAGUGGAACGCAGGCU